CGACCGGCGCACGGGUGAGUAACACGUAUGGAACCUGCCCUAUGCAGGGGGAUAAGCGGAAGAAAUUCCGUCUAAUACCGCGUAACACCGCAGAGGGGCAUCCCUCGGCGGUUAAAGAUUCAUCGGCUGCGGAUGGCCAUGCGGCGCAUUAGCUAGUCGGCGGGGUAACGGCCCACCGAGGCGACGAUGCGUAGGGGUUCUGAGAGGAAGGUCCCCCACACUGGUACUGAGACACGGACCAGACUCCUACGGGAGGCAGCAG
rnacentral:rRNA from 1 species